rfam:Xylona heveae TC161 unplaced genomic scaffold L228scaffold_5, whole genome shotgun sequence.
GGGCACAUGGUCUAGGGGUAUGAUUUUCGCUUCGCAUGUUGGACCCAACGGGAGUUGACGGUCACGUAAUGCAAAUGUGAAAGGUCCGGGGUUCAAAUCCCCGUGUGUCCA